GAUGAACGCUAGCGGCAGGCCUAACACAUGCAAGUCGAGGGGCAGCACAGAAACAGCAAUGUUUUGGUGGCGACCGGCGGACGGGUGCGUAACGCGUAUGCAACCUACCUUUAACAGGGGGAUAACGGAGAGAAAUUUUCACUAAUACCCCAUAACAUCGAUCAAGGCAUCUUGAUUGGUUGAAAACUCCGGUGGAUAAAGAUGGGCAUGCGUUGUAUUAGGUGGUUGGUGAGGUAAUAGCUCACCAAGCCUACGAUACAUAGGGGGACUGAGAGGUUAGCCCCCCACACUGGUACUGAGACACGGACCAGACUCCUACGGGAGGCAGCAGUGAGGAAUAUUAGUCAAUGGGGGCAACCCUGAACCAGCCAUGCCGCGUGCAGGAAGACGGCUCUAUGAGUUGUAAACUGCUUUUAAACAGGGAUAAAGCACAGUAUGUAUACUGUGUUGAAGGUACUGUAAGAAUAAGGAUCGGCUAACUCCGUGCCAGCCGCCGCCGUAA
rnacentral:rRNA from 1 species